rnacentral:rRNA from 1 species
UACGAAGGGGGCUAGCGUUGCUCGGAAUCACUGGGCGUAAAGCGUGCGCAGGCGGUUGUGCAAGACAGAUGUGAAAUCCCCGGGCUCAACCUGGGAAUUGCAUUUGUGACUGCACGGCUAGAGUGUGUCAGAGGGGGGUAGAAUUCCACGUGUAGCAGUGAAAUGCGUAGAUAUGUGGAGGAACACCGGUGGCGAAGGCGGCUAACUGGUCCGGUUCUGACGCUGAGGCGCGAAAGCGUGGGGAGCAAACAGGG